GAUUCUUUUAUCAUAGUGGACUUGCAAUCAUUACGUAGAUUUAAUGCAUGCAUGUGCUUGCUUUUACCAAAGCACAGGCUCUUUAUAUAGUUAAGCACUCUAUGUGCUAUAUUUACAUUAGCUUUUCCACCGUCAGUUUCUUUGCUUAGACUUUCUCUUUUGUCCGGCGUCUUUCUAUUAAGCCUCCAUCUUGUGCCAGCUUUUGGUGAUUUUUGUUUCCAGUUUCCUCCUUCUGGCUCACUUCAAUCAGCUCAGCUCAACCAUCCUAUUCGAAGCUUAUUGUUCAGCUACAAUUGCAUAUGGGUCGGAAACGUAAAUUUCCUCAGAAGAUGAAUAUCGUUUAGAAAAAAGCCGUCGUGAUCGUGCAAGAUAAUCUUGCCAACUCCAAAGCUGCUAGAGACCUCAUCCUCCAUCAAGCGCAAUCUUGAGGCAGAUUUCUCUGAAAGCACAAAGCAUCAAAAACUAAACUAGAUAAUUUACAUUCCAGUUGGAUGUAAAACAAAAAAUUGUACUUUUUGUUUACGAAUCACAGCAGCUUUCUAGAAUUUUGUUCUGUACAAAUAACAACUAACUUUUGUAUUAAGCUGCAAUUCCCAAUGAUCAUGUAUAUAUAAAAAAUGCAUGGUUUCGA